rnacentral:rRNA from 1 species
AUUGAACGCUGGCGGCAUGCCUUACACAUGCAAGUCGAACGCGAAAGAGGGGCAACCCUUGAGUAGAGUGGCGAACGGGUGAGUAACGCAUCGGAACGUAUCCAGUAGUGGGGGAUAACCCAUCGAAAGAUGGGCUAAUACCGCAUACGCCCCGAGGGGGAAAGCGGGGGAUCCGCAAGGACCUCACGUUAUUGGAGCGGCCGAUGUCCGAUUAGCUAGUUGGCGGGGUAAGAGCCCACCAAGGCGACGGUCGGUAGCUGGUCUGAGAGGAUGAGCGGCCACACUGGGACUGAGACACGGCCCAGACUACUACGGGAGGCAGCAGUGGGGAAUUUUGGACAAUGGGGCAACCCUGAUCCAGCCAUGCCGCGUGAGUGAAGAAGGCCUUCGGGUUGUAAAGCUCUUUCGGCCGGAACGAAAUCGCAUCCUCUGAUACGGGGUGUGGAUGACGGUACCGGAAGAAGAAGCACCGGCUAACUACGUGCCAGCCGCCGCGGUAAAAC